rnacentral:rRNA from 1 species
UACGUAGGUGGCAAGCGUUGUCCGGAUUUACUGGGCGCAAAGAGCGCGCAGGCGGUCGUACAAGUCGCGUGUGAAAGCCCCCGGCUCAACUGGGGAGGGUCACGCGAUACUGUUCGACUCGAAGGCAGGAGAGGGAAGUGGAAUUCCCGGUGUAGUGGUGAAAUGCGUAGAUAUCGGGAGGAACACCAGUGGCGAAGGCGACUUCCUGGCCUGUUCUUGACGCUGAGGCGCGAAAGCUAGGGUAGCAAACGGG